rnacentral:rRNA from 1 species
GACGAACGCUGGCGGCGUGCCUAAUACAUGCAAGUAGAACGCUGAAGAGAGGAGCUUGCUCUUCUUGGAUGAGUUGCGAACGGGUGAGUAACGCGUAUGUAACCUGCCUGGUAGCGGGGGAUAACUAUUGGAAACGAUAGCUAAUACCGCAUAAAAUUGAUUAUUGCAUGAUAAUUAAUUGAAAGAUGCAACUGCAUCACUACCAGAUGGACCUUAGUUGUAUUAGCUAGUUGGUGAGGUAACGGCUCACCAAGGCGACGAUACAUAGCCGACCUGAGAGGGUGGUAGGCAAAACUGGGAAUGAGACAAGGGCCAGAAUCCUACGGGAGGCAGCAGGAGGGAAUCGUCGGCAAUGGGGGGAACACUGACCGAGAAACGCCGAGUGAGUGAAGAAGGUUUUCGGAUCGUAAAGCUCUGUUGUAAGAGAAGAAAGGGUGUGAGAGUGGAAAGUUCACAUUGUGACGGUAUCUUACAAGAAAGGGACGGCUAACUACGUG